rnacentral:rRNA from 1 species
GACGAACGCUGGCGGCGUGCUUAACACAUGCAAGUCGAGCGGAAAGGCCCUGCUUUUGUGCGGCGCUCGAUUGGCGAACGGGGGAGUAACACGUGAGUAACCCGCACUUGACUUUCGGAUAACUUCAGGAAACUGCGGCUCAUACCCGAUAGGAGCUCCUUCUGCAUAGGGGGGGUUGGUAAGUUUCGGCGGUUGGGGAUGGAAUCGCGGGUUAUCAGCCUGUUGGUGGGGUAGUGGCUUACCAAGGCUGUGACGGGUAGCCGGCCUGAGAGGGUGACCGGGCACCUUGCGACUGAGAUACGGCGCAGACGGGUACGGGAGGCAGUAGUGGGGAAUAUUGCACAAUGGGCGGAAGUCUGAUGCAGCAACGCCGCGUGCGGGAUGAUGGCCUUCGGGUUGUAAACCGCUUUGGCCGGUGACGAAGAGUGAGUGACGGUACUGGAUAAAGAAGCACCGGCUAACUACGUG